rnacentral:pre_miRNA from 1 species
CAAGUACUCCCUCCGUUUGAAAUUACUUGUCAUCAAAAUGGAUGUGUCUAGAACUAAAAUACAUCUAGAUACAUCCAUUUCAAUGACAAGUAUUUUCGAACGGAGGGAGUACAAG